rnacentral:sRNA from 1 species
UGACCCUUUUAAGCCGAGGGUCACCUAGCCAACUGACGUUGUUAGUGAACCGAUAUUGUUCACAAGUAUAUGCAGCCAAUCACCUCAUUGUGAUUGGCUAUUUUUUU